rnacentral:rRNA from 1 species
UCAUACGUGGGACCCAAGCGUUAUCCGGAUUGACUGGGCGUAAAGCGUUGCGUAGGCGGUUUGUUAAGCGAAUAGUGAAACCUGGUGGCUCAACCAUUCAGACUAUUAUUCGAACUGGCAAACUAGAGAUCAGUAGGGGUACCUGGAAUUUCUAAUGUAGGGGUAAUAUCCGUAGAUAUUAGAAGGAACACCGAUAGCGUAGGCAGGGUACUGGACUGAUUCUGACGCUCAGGCACGAAAGCGUGGGGAGCGAACCGGAUUAGAUACCCGGGUAGUCCAUGCCGUAAACUAUGGAUGCUAGCUGUUGGCCGUAUCGACCCGGUCAGUAGCGAAGCUAACGCGUUAAGCAUCCCGCCUGAGGAGUACGGUCGCAAGAUUA